rnacentral:rRNA from 1 species
GAUGAACGCUGGCGGCGUGCCUAAUACAUGCAAGUCGAGCGAACGGACGAGAAGCUUGCUUCUCUGAUGUUAGCGGCGGACGGGUGAGUAACGCGUGGAUAACCUACCUAUAAGACUGGGAUAACUUCGGGAAACCGGAGCUAAUACCGGAUAAUAUUUUGAACCGCAUGGUUCAAAAGUGAAAGACGGUCUUGCUGUCACUUAUAGAUGGAUCCGCGCUGCAUUAGCUAGUUGGUAAGGUAACGGCUUACCAAGGCAACGAUGCAUAGCCGACCUGAGAGGGUGAUCGGCCACACUGGAACUGAGACACGGUCCAGACUCCUACGGGAGGCAGCAGUAGGGAAUCUUCCGCAAUGGGCGAAAGCCUGACGGAGCAACGCCGCGUGAGUGAUGAAGGUCUUCGGAUCGUAAAACUCUGUUAUUAGGGAAGAACAUAUGUGUGAGUAACUGUGCACAUCUUGACGGUACCUAAUCAGAAAGCCACGGCUAACUACGUGCCAGCAGCCGCGGUAAUACGUAGGUGGCAAGCGUUAUCCGGAAUUUUAUGGGCGUAAGCGCGCGUANGCGGUUUUUUAAGUCUGAUGUGAAAGCCCACGGCUCAACCGUGGAGGGUCAUUGGAAACUGGAAAACUUGAGUGCAGAAGAGGAAAGUGGAAUUCCAUGUGUAGCGGUGAAAUGCGCAGAGAUAUGGAGGAACACCAGUGGCGAAGGCGACUUUCUGGUCUGUAACUGACGCUGAUGUGCGAAAGCGUGGGGAUCAAACAGGAUUAGAUACCCUGGUAGUCCACGCCGUAAACGAUGAGUGCUAAGUGUUAGGGGGUUUCCGCCCCUUAGUGCUGCAGCUAACGCAUUAAGCACUCCGCCUGGGGAGUACGACCGCAAGGUUGAAACUCAAAGGAAUUGACGGGGACCCGCACAAGCGGUGGAGCAUGUGGUUUAAUUCGAAGCAACGCGAAGAACCUUACCAAAUCUUGACAUCCUUUGACAACUCUAGAGAUAGAGCCUUCCCCUUCGGGGGACAAAGUGACAGGUGGUGCAUGGUUGUCGUCAGCUCGUGUCGUGAGAUGUUGGGUUAAGUCCCGCAACGAGCGCAACCCUUAAGCUUAGUUGCCAUCAUUAAGUUGGGCACUCUAAGUUGACUGCCGGUGACAAACCGGAGGAAGGUGGGGAUGACGUCAAAUCAUCAUGCCCCUUAUGAUUUGGGCUACACACGUGCUACAAUGGACAAUACAAAGGGCAGCGAAACCGCGAGGUCAAGCAAAUCCCAUAAAGUUGUUCUCAGUUCGGAUUGUAGUCUGCAACUCGACUACAUGAAGCUGGAAUCGCUAGUAAUCGUAGAUCAGCAUGCUACGGUGAAUACGUUCCCGGGUCU